rnacentral:ncRNA from 18 species
AUCGUUCAUCCUCCUCCCAGAGGAGGACGCAAGUAAGUCGCGGAACGGAGCGUUCAUCCUAUGUUAUCAUUGGCACUCAUCUUUUUUAGUCAUGUUCCUCCUGAGCAACUGCUUAGGUGUGAAGACUAUCAAUGGUUGAAGCAGGGAUUGGAAGAGACAACUCUUUUCACCCCCUUUGAGAAAUCUGAUCUGCUCAUCCACUGGAUGAAUCAUACAGAUCCUCACUGCUUUGAUAACUAGGACGCAAACGAUUGAAGGAACGGGAG